GACGAACGCUGGCGGCGUGCUUAACACAUGCAAGUCGAACGGAAAGGCCCUGCUUUUGUGGGGUGCUCGAGUGGCGAACGGGUGAGUAACACGUGAGUAACCUGCCCUUGACUUUGGGAUAACUUCAGGAAACUGGGGCUAAUACCGGAUAGGAGCUCCUGCUGCAUGGUGGGGGUUGGAAAGUUUCGGCGGUUGGGGAUGGACUCGCGGCUUAUCAGCUUGUUGGUGGGGUAGUGGCUUACCAAGGCUUUGACGGGUAGCCGGCCUGAGAGGGUGACCGGCCACAUUGGGACUGAGAUACGGCCCAGACUCCUACGGGAGGCAGCAGUGGGGAAUAUUGCACAAUGGGCGGAAGCCUGAUGCAGCAACGCCGCGUGCGGGAUGACGGCCUUCGGGUUGUAAACCGCUUACGCCUGUGACGAAGCGUGAGUGACGGUAAUGAGUAAAGAAGCACCGGCUAACUACGUG
rnacentral:rRNA from 1 species